rnacentral:rRNA from 1 species
AUUGAACGCUGGCGGCAUGCCUUACACAUGCAAGUCGAACGGCAGCGGACCUUCGGGUGCCGGCGAGUGGCGAACGGGUGAGUAACGUAUCGGAACGUACCUUUCAGUGGGGGAUAACGUAGCGAAAGUUACGCUAAUACCGCAUAUUCUGUGAGCAGGAAAGCAGGGGAUCGCAAGACCUUGCGCUGAUUGAGCGGCCGAUAUCAGAUUAGCUAGUUGGCGAGGUAAAGGCUCACCAAGGCGACGAUCUGUAGCGGGUCUGAGAGGAUGAUCCGCCACACUGGAACUGAGACACGGUCCAGACUCCUACGGGAGGCAGCAGUGGGGAAUUUUGGACAAUGGGGGCAACCCUGAUCCAGCCAUGCCGCGUGAGUGAAGAAGGCCUUCGGGUUGUAAAGCUCUUUCGGCCGGGAAGAAAUCGUAUGGGUUAAUACCCUGUGCGGAUGACGGUACCGGCAUAAGAAGCACCGGCUAACUACGUGCCAGCCGCCGCGGUAAAAC